UGAGUUGCGAACGGGUGAGUAACGCGUAGGUAACCUGCCUGGUAGCGGGGGAUAACUAUUGGAAACGAUAGCUAAUACCGCAUAACAGUAGAUGUUGCAUGACAUUUGCUUAAAAGGUGCAAUUGCAUCACUACCAGAUGGACCUGCGUUGUAUUAGCUAGUUGGUGGGGUAACGGCUCACCAAGGCGACGAUACAUAGCCGACCUGAGAGGGUGAUCGGCCACACUGGGACUGAGACACGGCCCAGACUCCUACGGGAGGCAGCAGUAGGGAAUCUUCGGCAAUGGACGGAAGUCUGACCGAGCAACGCCGCGUGAGUGAAGAAGGUUUUCGGAUCGUAAAGCUCUGUUGUAAGAGAAGAACGAGUGUGAGAGUGGAAAGUUCACACUGUGACGGUAUCUUACCAGAAAGGGACGGCUAACUACGUGCCAGCAGCCGCGGUAAUACGUAGGUCCCGAGCGUUGUCCGGAUUUAUUGGGCGUAAAGCGAGCGCAGGCGGUUAGAUAAGUCUGAAGUUAAAGGCUGUGGCUUAGCCAUAGUACGCUUUGGAAACUGUUUAACUUGAGUGCAAGAGGGGAGAGUGGAAUUCCAUGUGUAGCGGUGAAAUGCGUAGAUAUAUGGAGGAACACCGGUGGCGAAAGCGGCUCUCUGGCUUGUAACUGACGCUGAGGCUCGAAAGCGUGGGGAGCAAACAGGAUUAGAUANCCUGGUAGUCCACGCCGUAAACGAUGAGUGCUAGGUGUUAGACCC
rnacentral:rRNA from 1 species